GAGGUCAAUCGUGGAUCAGGGAAAGCGAAGGCAGGAGCGUGAGGUGAACUGAAUUUCAGGUGUGGUGCCUGUUAUCGGACCCGGAGUUAGCAACAUCCCCAAAAACCCGAAGAGUAGAGUCCUGGCCCCUAGCCCUGUCAGCGUAGCAGAAAUGAUGACGGAUGAUGAUGAUGGCAGCAGCCGUUCUUCUCUGUUCCUUUUUGUCCCCAGGUCAUUUACAGCUAUGCAGUAAUACUCUCCAGCAUCAGAAGACUGAAUGGAGCUGAAGAUGAGCUGGGAGUCUUUACUGAGAGGUUUCUGAUCAUUCUGCUUGUACCAGGUGUAACUAGCUGCUGGGUUAGCAUCACUGCUACAGGUCAGAGUCACAGAGCUGCCCUCCACUAUCUCACCCGAGAGAGUCACUGACACAGAGGGGCGUAUUGGAGCAUCUGGAGGAAGAAAAAAAAAACCCAUAAACAUGUGUAAUGCUUUAUUUCGGCAACAGUUACAGAUACAUAUAAACAUUAAUGUGAAUUUUUUUUUUACCUGUAACAAGCAAAGUGACUCCAGGAGUGCCAGUAUAACGUCCAAUACGACU
ensembl:lncRNA